rnacentral:misc_RNA from 1 species
AGAGAGAGAGAGAGAGAGAGAAUUGAAUUGCCCUUGUAAUGCCUUUAUUUCAAUGUAGUGAAAUUACUGUCCAUCAGAUGAUUGUUGAUUUUUGCCAAUAGCUAAUGUGGUUUUUUGAAAAUGUAACCCUAAACCAACAGAAUGGAGGAAAUGGAUCCAUAUAACGAAUCCUAACUAGAUGGGGAUUGAGGCCGAGUAAGGUAGCUAAACAUCCUAUUUAUUUAGUUCUUCCCCCACUUUGGGCAUUGUACAUGCAAUCCAUCAGCUGCUACUCUAUUAAUUUUGCCAAGUACUCCUGUGAGGCUUGAAGCAAUCAUCUAUUUUCCCUUCGAUUAUACUUGAUAGCGUGAUUUAUAUCCACCCACACGCCAGGAUAGAUUGAUUUACAUCUAUGCUCAAAUAAUUAUAGUAAUUUUCAUUCCUUACAAUAUUUUUAGUGGUUAGUGCAAGUGUUUAGUCAUCUUGGUCUCAAUGCCAUUUUUUGUUGAAAAGUUCUUGGUAUAGACAAUUUCUACAUUCUUUUGGUAUAUAUAUACAGUUGGAAAGGGUGAAAAUUGCUUAGUUAAUCGAUGCCACAUGUCUUUUCACUUAUGACUUUGGCAUGGGGCAUCCAAAUAAUUUAGCCAUUGCCAACUGUAUACCUACAUUGAAAAUGAAUAGACAUUAUCUACAUAUAGUAGUGCUUUUUUUUGUCCCCCUUUUAUCAUUGGAGAAUGUCUCAAAUUACCUUGCUUUGUGAUAAUCAUUAUGUGGCUUUGAUCUCUUCAUCAGCUUGUCUUGGGCAUCUGCUAACACGAAUUUGGUGAUGCAGGAGCAAGAUAAGGUGACAAUA